rnacentral:rRNA from 1 species
AGUGAACGCUGGCGGUAGGCCUAACACAUGCAAGUCGAACGGCAGCACAGUAAGAGCUUGCUCUUACGGGUGGCGAGUGGCGGACGGGUGAGGAAUACAUCGGAAUCUACUUUUUCGUGGGGGAUAACGUAGGGAAACUUACGCUAAUACCGCAUACGACCUACGGGUGAAAGCAGGGGAUCUUCGGACCUUGCGCGAUUGAAUGAGCCGAUGUCGGAUUAGCUAGUUGGCGGGGUAAAGGCCCACCAAGGCGACGAUCCGUAGCUGGUCUGAGAGGAUGAUCAGCCACACUGGAACUGAGAAACGGUCCAGACUCCUACGGGAGGCAGCAGUGGGGAAUAUUGGACAAUGGGCGCAAGCCUGAUCCAGCAAUACCGCGUGGGCGAAGAAGGCCUUCGGGUUGUAAAGCCCUUUUGUUGGGAAAGAAAAGCAGCAGGUUAAUACCCCGCUGUUCUGACGGUACCCAAAGAAUAAGCACCGGCUAACUUCGUG